AACAGCUGGAACAAAAAGACCAGCCGUCAACGGUUCGGUCCGGCGGUCCGCAAAAUGGGAACGAGAAGCCUCCUCUCCCUCGUUCCCGCCUGCCUCCUCCUCGUCUCCUCCCUCGUCGCCUCCUCUCCUCUUCUCGGCGUCUCCCCUCAAGACGAGUUGUAUUUCGCGGUCGCGGGGGCGGUGAUCGCGUGCAAGGAUGGGUCGAGAACCUUCUCGAAGGAUCGUCUCAACGACGGCUACUGCGAUUGUCCCGACGGAACCGACGAACCCGGAACUCCUGCUUGCCCUCAAAGCAAAUUCUAUUGUAGGAACGUAGGAGAUUCAUCUCAUUUCUUGUUUUCAUCACGGGUUAAUGAUCACAUCUGUGAUUGCUGUGAUGGAAGUGAUGAAUAUGACACUGGUCUGAACUGUCCAAACACAUGCCUCAAAGAUCAGAAUGUUUCUGAAAAUAGAAUUGUCAACCAUGAUGCAGAAGCAAUGAAAAUCAACAAUGGUAGCAGACAAGAAAGAAAAUAUAGAGUUGAUUUGGAGGACUUGGUCCAAAAGAAAGGAUUGAAAAUACUUAUAAUGAUACAAAUGGUUUCUGCAAUGUGUAUAAUGGCCUUUUGCCUGUUCUAUUGGCGCACUAGAUCUCGAAGGAGACGCUAUUUGAGGAGGAAUUAGUAGGCCUACAAAUUCAAUUGUCUCUGCUGUGUUUUAAGCUAUUUAUGGUGUUCUUCUUUUUUUAUAUCUCACAUAUACAGAAAAAUAUUUGUAAAUUCUAUUAAGGUGUCUGUAAAAUAUUGGACUCUCUUAUGAAUCACAUAUCACUUCUGAAACUGUUCUUGGACAUGGUGGCAACACAUUGUUAGCUCUUAAUGUAAUGUGGAGUUUGGCCCUUUUAGUAGUACCCAGUUGUGAAAUGGUGUUACAAAGUAGUAGAUGAAAUAGAAUAUGAUGUCAAGUUGAAAGGCAUCUCCAAUUUUGGGAUAUAAAAGCAUCAGAUUGUAAUAGGAAGUAUCAUAUCAUAAUUUAUAUAAGACAGGUUGUAAGAACAAAGAUUUCAGGAGCGUUGAAGACAACAAACAUGCAUUUCAUCUUUUAACUGUUCUUCAGAUGGUUAUGAUGCAUGAAAAAGCAAAACACAAUAUCGGAAACAUUCUUGAACAUUCGACUGCAUCAUCUUAAUACAGAAAUAUCCUGCUGAGCAUAGGCACUUGUAUGAGCAUAGGCACUUGUAUUUCUUAUUCGUCAUCCGUAAUUGAUUAUCAUCCAAUUGUUACAAAGCAGCUAAUUAGGGAUAUCAAUUUUUCACUUAGGCAAGUUCAAACUGGGUUUUACCUAAGAUCUCUAUUAUCUCUCAAGCCUAUGUUGAGACAAUUUCCUCGGAUCCAAAAAUGGCUUGUUAAAACAGGUUUGAUCCCUUCAAAUUUAGGAUGAUCGAGCCCAUGGAUGCCAAAAUGUGAAACUUAUCCUGUUUCCACAUAUCUAUAGAUCACUCUCAUAUGCCCUAAGACUUAAAGCUUGCCAGAAUUCAGUAGAAGUUACACUUUCGUGCACAUCAUAUAUUAUUAAUGCUGGAUGAUGCCUUGGUGGGCAUGGGGUGGAAAGACCAUAGAGCCAUAUAUGCUUUUUUAUAGAAUAACAGACAUUUAAGACAGACUCUUCUCAUGAUUGUUCUAUGUUUAAGUAAAAGUCCUUUUUUUUUUCUUCUUUUUCUUUAUCAGUGAGAACCUUCCCAUAUCCCCAUGCCCUCCCAAUAACACAGACCUACACCAACCCCACCCCAAGGAAAAGAAACCAGGAGUUUAUUUGUCCAACUUGAUUUGCAGAAAUUUGAGUAGGUGUGCCUUGAAACAAUCCACAUUAGUCAUUCAUUUCAGAUCAGUGACUUUUACUGUAAUUAGAUUUUCAUCUCCUUAUUCUAAAAUGAAUUUUUGUAUCAACAUUGAAGAGCUGUAAUCCUUGACUCAUUUUCUUGACUGAAUUGAACUUAGUUGAGUGAGUGGCUCUGUUGUCUGAGCCGGGGCAACUUGAUUUUGACCUGGAGCUUCAUACAUUUAUUUGUAAAUCAAAUUGUCCUAACUUUGCAUUCUGAAACCAUGUAGUAUUUGUCCUAAAAUAGAAUAGUUGAAAACUUUGAAUCAAUAAGAAUAGGCUUGUGUAAUUUGUGGGCAUUUUGCACUUCCAGGAAUACUGUUCUUCUUCUCCUUGUCGUUGUUAUGUGUGGAUUGGAGGAUAAAGAACACAUUUUGAUUGUAUUAUUGGACUGUUAAACCAGUGUGCUAGCCAAAAGUGUUUUCCUUAUUCUCUGUGGAUUACGUUACAAGCAUCUCCCACCAGUUAAAAUUUACAAGAAGAAAAGUAAAAGAUAUCACAAGCAUAAAAAGCUCAUUUUGGUUGCAUCAUUGGACUGUUAACCAGUGUACUAGCCAAAAGUGGUUUCUUUUAAUUGGUUGAGAGCCUUAUGUGAUCCGGCGAUCUGGUGCAACUUGUCAUGAGCAGAUAUGAUGCUACCGAUUGAACAUUUGCAAAUCAAAAGCAUUCAAAGUUCAGGAUAUCAUUAUUAUUUAUGAUAUAAUUUUAACUUGAAAAGAAGAAAAAAAGGAAGAGACGAGGAUAUGUAAGAGAAAGUAUAAUUUUAACCAGUUUUUUAUGUUAAUACCUCUGAACAUUCUUUAUUUAAACAUUGAAGAAGUAUUAAAAAGGUAUUGUUUGUUGAGAUCUUUCAAUAUAUAUGUUUCUCAUCUAAACAUUUGAUAACUCAAGAAUCUAAGAAAAGUAAUAUUUUGCAAACUUGUUUGAAUAGUUAGAUCCUUGACCAAUCUCUAACAAGAAUAAAUACUCACUUCUAACAUUAAAGAGGGAUCAAACUCAUGUUGGAAGCAUGGUUUUAAAAAUUGUAGGAAUGGAUUAGUACCUUAAUAUUCUAGUGUGAAACGAGCACCAGUACGGGUGAUGAGAUGCCGAAACAACUAUGUUGGUAUGUAAUGGUUGUACUGGUAUGUGCCAGUCUAUUCCAGUGCAUGCUGGCGGUUUCGUACCGACAUAUUUGGCACCGGUGUUUAAAACCUUUGUUGGAAGAGUUCAAUCUUCUUCCAUCUUUACAAGUGGCUGCCAGAAAAGUUAUAGGCUUUCAAGAGGCAUAUCCAACUCGGAUACAUAUCCGAUAUUGAUUUUUGGAGCUGGACAUGAGUAUCCAGGCAAUGUAGAAGGUAACUUGUUUUAUUUCUGGCAAAUUUGUUUCAACUUUUUGAUUAUGGAUAUGGUUUAUUAAUGAAGCAUGAUGAAAUUGAGGGCAAGCUGGCAGCGUCAUUCGAAGUUUAUGUGAACAUCGACUUUGAUGUGGACAUAAUGUGAACAGAAUAUGCUAGGUCUUGAAGAAACCUAAGUCAUCUCAGCUAUUGUGUCAGGCUUGCAUCAAUUUUCUAGGGGGAAAAGUCUGUGUUAUUUAUUCACAUCUGCAGAGGUAUUUCUAAUUAUUUAUCAGAAAGCAAGACUGUGGUAUUGCAAUUGCAUCUCUUUACUUUUUGGUUUUAAAUUUCUUGAAGAAUCUUUCUUAAAUUGUGCACUAUAGGAAAAAUGAUAUUAGCACAAUGUUGAUCCGGCAUGAGCAUUAUAAAUUCCUGCCUAUUGUUUGCAUAGAAGGGAGUUCUAUUUGCUAUCGAUUUUCUUUAUGAGGAAGUCCUUUUCUGCAACAAAUGGUCUUUCUAUUCCUCAUACGUAACAAAGGUCGAUCCUGUUUAAUUUCUUUGGAUUAGUCUGUUGAAACUCCUUGACUUUAAAAUUGCUUGCCAAAUAAUUAGUAAUAAGCACAAAUUGAAGGUGGUGAAAUGGCAAUGCAAAGGAUUGUUUGAUGUAUACACCAAUUAUAGUCCCUUAUAUAAUCAUGUGUAUAGUUUGCUAUUGUUUAAAUGCUUCUAGUUUCUUUCCUGUUAUCUGUUUAUCAGCAGCUUGCAUAUAUGAAAUAUAUCGAGUGUUAUUAGUAAUCAAGCAUCGUAAUUAAACUGAUCCGGCAUCCUGAAGCAUUAUGUGGAAACCCUGUUAUCAAAUCUUUGCAUUGUUAAACAUAAACCCUGUUAUCUGAUCCUCUCUCUCCCACUCUCUCUUCCAAUUUGCUCUCUUCCUUCCUGUUCAUUACAUAUAGCAGUGAUACUAAAUUUGUGUUUUAAGGUGAAAGACCUAAAAAGGACCAGAGUAACUGACCAGACAUGAUUGAUCACAUUCCUGCUAUCACACACCCAUGUACAACUAUCAUUAUAGCAUAAGCCUGUUUUUUUUUUUUUUUAACUAUAGAGUGGCAGGUUAUCAAAGAUACUGGUUCUCUAUGUUUGGUGGAGUUCUGAGAACUACAAUUCUCUAUGCAUAUCAUAAGGAUAUUAACUGCUAUAUGCUUAAGCACAAAAAGAGCAAUAACACAUGCUCGUUCCCUUCAAAUCCUGCAGAUUUUUAUAUACAUCCUUUAAAGUAAAAUAUCUUGAAAACCUAUGCUCACUUUUGGACAGUCCAGACAAAGGUUGAGCCUUGCUUCACAAGUUCAUGUACAUGACACAGCUGUUUAUGAAUUCUCAUUCAUUAUCCUACCUACAAUAUUUGUGACUCUUGCUAUGUAUCACAAAGAAGACAAUAAAGUUUCUAAAUAUUCGUUGCCAAGGUCUUGUAACUCCACAACAUCCACCUGAUUGCUGACCAUCCCUUUGUUGCUGCUAUUUCUCUUCCAUGCUGGUGGUUCAGCUGGAACCUCGUCAUAAAUGCCCCAUUCCCUUGUUCUCUUUCUUGGGCUAUAAUUUGUCUCAGUGCAGCCGUACACUGGGCAAGCAGGGCCACUCAUGAUGCAUGCCAAGUCCUGUUCAAGGUGAGCAUCUUCUGAAGCCUUGGCAACUGCCUCCAUGGGGAAAUUGAGGUGAGCUUGCGGUCCUCUCAUUCGCAGAGCAGCUCUGUCAUAUGCAAGGGCAGCUUCUUCUGCAGUAUUGAAAGUUCCGAGCCAAACCCUCAUCCCUUUCCGUGAGGUGUCCCUUAUCUCUGCUGCAAACUUUCCCCAUGGUCGCCUUCUCACCCCUCUAAAAUGCCUGGGAGUAACACUUUCUGCAGCUAAUGUCUUUGAUGUUGAAGAUGAGCAGGCUUGGUAUCCUGAAUCAAGAGUAGCAGUUUCACAGCUAUCUGAAGCUAUAAUUCCAUUGAGCAGUUCAUCCCAGAUUUCAGCUCCCAUAGAUAUCCAUCUGCCAAGGCUGGGAAGCCUCUGUAGGACUGCCAGAUUUCCUUCCCCUCCUUCCAGACGAGGCAUUUCGUUCCAGUCUCGGGAGUCUUCAGGCUUCUUGUUGGGUUCAUCAUUAGAACUGCAGCUCUCUGGGGCAUUACCAGCGAAGAAACUAGCCCACACAUUUUCCAGGAGCUUAUCAUUUGCUUCACACCUCUUCAAUUCAAUACUCAUGGUGUUGGUGGAGAUCUAGAAGAGCAUGUUUUGGAAUAAAACACAGCCAAUUGGAGAAGGGAGGUUGGGAGUUUGGAUUGCUGUGAUGUUAUAUAGAGUUGCCAGCAGUUGAACAGCCCAAAGCUUUGGUUCAGCCAAUGAACAAGAGAACCUGUAAGAAACUUGGGUUCCAAACUAAGGAACCCUUUUAAUCUGUGUACGCGGGGACUCCACAUCAGAAAUCAGUAUGAAGUAUCUGGUAUCUUUCUUGACGUGGGAAGGCUGUUAGGUUUUCUUUCAGUGUGUGAUGGACUCACAUCGAAACUAAUCCUGAUGGCUAAAGUUUGAAAGCUACAAAGGUACCUUCUCAUCUUUUUGAUAUAUGAUUCUCUUCUUCCUGCAUCAACAAGCUGCCUUUUGGAAAUAGAUAAAAUGAGAGUCCGGGGGUUCAUGAACAGUUCCAUUUGGGUUACCUUCUCCUAUGGGUGUAUGCUGAAUCCUUGUUUUUGAAGCAUCUCAAUGCUGCUAUUCUCUCAGGAUCUCUCUUCUACGUUCUUGGCUUUCGUUGUGACGAGUGUCCUAUCCUACUAUGCUUGGUUUUGAAGUGUAUCAUAUUUGAUAAUAUUAUCUCUGGAGUAGGCAAAACCAAGGAAUUGGAGAAACCUAGAAUUUGUGGUCUUGCCUAAUCCGAUCAUCUUUAUUAAUUCCAGACGAAGGAACACACAAGCGCUUCUUCACAUUAUUCAGCCAUGACCAUUGAGAAGGAAUACUUGGCGCUUUGGCAAUGGAUAUAAUAAUGCUGGUAGCAAUAGAUACGCAUUCCGAUUCAAUGUAUGAGGAUGCCUUUAACAAUGUACAACCCUUGAAAUUUUUGUCCUCAGAUCUUUCAAGAGCCAGAGGGAAUGUUUGGUGGUUCGGCGUUUA